GACGAACGCUGGCGGCGUGCUUAACACAUGCAAGUCGAACGGAAAGGCCCUGCUUUUGUGGGGUGCUCGAGUGGCGAACGGGUGAGUAACACGUGAGUAACCUGCCCUUGACUUUGGGAUAACUUCAGGAAACUGGGGCUAAUACCGGAUAGGAGCUCCUGCUGCAUGGUGGGGGUUGGAAAGUUUCGGCGGUUGGGGAUGGACUCGCGGCUUAUCAGCUUGUUGGUGGGGUAGUGGCUUACCAAGGCUUUGACGGGUAGCCGGCCUGAGAGGGUGACCGGCCACAUUGGGACUGAGAGACGGCCCAGACUCCUACGGGAGGCAGCAGUGGGGAAUAUUGCACAAUGGGCGGAAGCCUGAUGCAGCAACGCCGCGUGCGGGAUGACGGCCUUCGGGUUGUAAACCGCUUUCGCCUGUGACGAAGCGUGAGUGACGGUAAUGGGUAAAGAAGCACCGGCUAACUAC
rnacentral:rRNA from 1 species